UCCCAGAUAAGAAUCGGGGCAGUCUGAUUAGAGUGCGCCAGCCUUGCGGCUGACUGGCAACUAAUCACAGGGGUUGCGCUCGUUGCGGCACUUAAGCCAACAUCUCACGACACGAGCUGACGACAACCAUGCAGCACCUGUGUCGCCCCAGCACCCUUUCGGGCCGUCACCGGCUUUCACCGGCUUUCACGCGACAUGUCAAGCCUAGGUAAGGUUCUUCGCGUUGCAUCGAAUUAAGCCACAUGCUCCACCGCUUGUGCGGGCCCCCGUCAAUUCCUUUGAGUUUUAAUCUUGCGACCGUACUCCCCAGGCGGCUCACUUAACGCUUUCGCUACGCCACAGAAGGGGUCGAAUCCCCCUACGGCAAGUGAGCACAGUUUAGGGCCAGGACUAC
rnacentral:misc_RNA from 1 species